rnacentral:misc_RNA from 1 species
UCCAUCUAAAACCAGGUGCGGUCGCGGCCUCCAGGUGAUAACCUGGGUGGUUUCGCGCCGCAUUCCUGCACCCUUUUUUUACGAGCACCUUUGUUCUCCUUCGGCGGGGCAACCCUGCCGCUGGAACUUGAUAAAACCUUUUUUUGCAUCUAGCAUUACCUGUUCUGAUACAAAUAAUCGUUA